UUUCCGUAGGUGAACCUGCGGAAGGAUCAUUAUUAUUUGGGUCGGGUUUACCUCUUGUCUAGUUUUUUUGUGCUCAAAAUAAUUCAAGAGGAGGUAAACUUUUACCAAAUAAUCCUAUUUCCAAAUAGGAGCAAGAACCUUAUAUUUAAAACCCACUCUUAAAAUAUUAUUUAUGUAUUUUGAAUGAUAAAAAUUAAAGAUCACUUUCAACAACGGAUCUCUUGGCUCUC
rnacentral:misc_RNA from 1 species